rnacentral:rRNA from 1 species
AGCUCCAGUAGCGUGUACUAAAGUUGUUGCAGUUAAAAAGCUCGUAGUUGGAUUUCUGUGGAGGUUGGACGGCCUGCUCGAAUCUGAGUAGGAUCAGUCACAUACCUCUACAUCUUGCCAUGAACUGCUCUGGUCUUAACUGACCCGGAGUUCAGGAAAUGGCUCCUUUACUUUGAGAAAAAUAGAGUGUUCAAAGCAGGCGUUUGCCUUGAAUAAGUUAGCAUGGAAUAAUGAGAUAGGACUUUGGUUCUAUUUUGUUGGUUGUUCGAGAGCCGAAGUAAUGAUUGAUAGAGAUGGUUGGGGGCAUCGGUAUUUCAGAGCGAGAGGUGAAAUUCAUGGACCUCUGAAAGACCAACAAUUGCGAAGGCAUUUGCCAAGGACAUUCUCUUUAAUCAAGAAC